AGUUGUAGAAUAUAGAAGCACAUCAGUGCGAAUUCCGGUCUAAGUCUCUUGGAAAAGAGCAGCUAAGAGGGUGAGACUCCCGUUCUUGGCUGGAAUUCAAACUUUAGCAUGUGGUUUCGACGAGUCGAGUUGCUUGGGAUUGCAGCUCAAAGUUGGUGGUAAAUUCCAUCUAAAGCUAAAUAUCGGUGGGAGACCGAUAGCGUACAAGUACCGUGAGGGAAAGAUGCAAAGAACUUUGAAAAAAGAGUUAAAGAGUACCUGAAAUUGCUGAAAUGGAAGCGAAGGAAACCAGUGCCGUUCUGUAUCAUUCUUCCGUCCUUGCUUGCGAGGGUGGCGCUGUGAUGCAGGAUAGGCCAGCGUGGGUUUGAGCCGAAGGAAGCAGCUCUUCAGGAGGCAGCGCAAUUUCUGUGCGAUUACUGUUGAGCUUUGCUUCGGCUUGGACUGAGGCUAGUCACUUGUGCUCGUGACGCUGGCGAAAUGGUUUUCUUUACCCCGUCUUGAAACACGGACCAAGGAGUCUAACAUAUGUGCGAGUAUAUGAGUGACAAACUCACAUGCGAAAUGAAAGUAACAGUGGUUGGACCUUCUGGGCACAAUCCGCCGGCCACAAUCCUUCGGGAGAAAGGUCUGAGUGUGAGCAUACAUGUUGGGACCCGAAAGAUGGUGAACUAUGCCUGAAUAGGGUGAAGCCGC
rnacentral:rRNA from 1 species